AGAGUUUGAUCAUGGCUCAGGACGAACGCUGGCGGCGUGCCUAAUACAUGCAAGUAGAACGCUGAAGAGAGGAGCUUGCUCUUCUUGGAUGAGUUGCGAACGGGUGAGUAACGCGUAGGUAACCUGCCUUGUAGCGGGGGAUAACUAUUGGAAACGAUAGCUAAUACCGCAUAACAAUGGAUGACACAUGUCAUUUAUUUGAAAGGGGCAAUUGCUCCACUACAAGAUGGACCUGCGUUGUAUUAGCUAGUAGGUGAGGUAAUGGCUCACCUAGGCGACGAUACAUAGCCGACCUGAGAGGGUGAUCGGCCACACUGGGACUGAGACACGGCCCAGACUCCUACGGGAGGCAGCAGUAGGGAAUCUUCGGCAAUGGGGGCAACCCUGACCGAGCAACGCCGCGUGAGUGAAGAAGGUUUUCGGAUCGUAAAGCUCUGUUGUAAGUCAAGAACGGGUGUGAGAGUGGAAAGUUCACACUGUGACGGUAGCUUACCAGAAAGGGACGGCUAACUACGUGCCAGCAGCCGCGGUAAUACGUAGGUCCCGAGCGUUGUCCGGAUUUAUUGGGCGUAAAGCGAGCGCAGGCGGUUUGAUAAGUCUGAAGUUAAAGGCUGUGGCUCAACCAUAGUUCGCUUUGGAAACUGUCAAACUUGAGUGCAGAAGGGGAGAGUGGAAUUCCAUGUGUAGCGGUGAAAUGCGUAGAUAUAUGGAGGAACACCGGUGGCGAAAGCGGCUCUCUGGUCUGUAACUGACGCUGAGGCUCGAAAGCGUGGGGAGCGAACAGGAUUAGAUACCCUGGUAGCCCACGCCGUAAACGAUGAGUGCUAGGUGUUGGAUCCUUUCCGGGAUUCAGUGCCGCAGCUAACGCAUUAAGCACUCCGCCUGGGGAGUACGACCGCAAGGUUGAAACUCAAAGGAAUUGACGGGGGCCCGCACAAGCGGUGGAGCAUGUGGUUUAAUUCGAAGCAACGCGAAGAACCUUACCAGGUCUUGACAUCCCGAUGCUAUUUCUAGAGAUAGAAAGUUACUUCGGUACAUCGGUGACAGGUGGUGCAUGGUUGUCGUCAGCUCGUGUCGUGAGAUGUUGGGUUAAGUCCCGCAACGAGCGCAACCCCUAUUGUUAGUUGCCAUCAUUCAGUUGGGCACUCUAGCGAGACUGCCGGUAAUAAACCGGAGGAAGGUGGGGAUGACGUCAAAUCAUCAUGCCCCUUAUGACCUGGGCUACACACGUGCUACAAUGGUUGGUACAACGAGUUGCGAGUCGGUGACGGCGAGCUAAUCUCUUAAAGCCAAUCUCAGUUCGGAUUGUAGGCUGCAACUCGCCUACAUGAAGUCGGAAUCGCUAGUAAUCGCGGAUCAGCACGCCGCGGUGAAUACGUUCCCGGGCCUUGUACACACCGCCCGUCACACCACGAGAGUUUGUAACACCCGAAGUCGGUGAGGUAACCUUUUGGAGCCAGCCGCCUAAGGUGGGACAGAUGAUUGGGGUGAAGUCGUAACAAGGUA
rnacentral:rRNA from 1 species